AACGAACGCUGGCGGCAUGCCUAACACAUGCAAGUCGAACGAGACCUUCGGGUCUAGUGGCGCACGGGUGCGUAACGCGUGGGAACCUGCCCUUAGGUUCGGAAUAACUCCCCGAAAGGGGUGCUAAUACCGGAUAAUGUCUUCGGACCAAAGAUUUAUCGCCUUUGGAUGGGCCCGCGUUGGAUUAGCUAGUUGGUAGGGUAAAAGCCUACCAAGGCGACGAUCCAUAGCUGGUCUGAGAGGAUGAUCAGCCACGCUGGGACUGAGACACGGCCCAGACUCCUACGGGAGGCAGCAGUGGGGAAUAUUGGACAAUGGGCGAAAGCCUGAUCCAGCAAUGCCGCGUGAGUGAUGAAGGCCUUAGGGUUGUAAAGCUCUUUUACCCGGGAUGAUAAUGACAGUACCGGGAGAAUAAGCUCCGGCUAACUCCGU
rnacentral:rRNA from 1 species